GUGGGGAAUUUUGGACAAUGGGCGCAAGCCUGAUCCAGCCAUGCCGCGUGCAGGAUGAAGGCCUUCGGGUUGUAAACUGCUUUUGUACGGAACGAAACGGCUCUUUCUAAUAAAGAGGGCUAAUGACGGUACCGUAAGAAUAAGCACCGGCUAACUACGUGCCAGCAGCCGCGGUAAUACGUAGGGUGCGAGCGGUAAUCGGAAUUACUGGGCGUAAAUCGUGCGCAGGCGGUGAUGUAAGACAGAUGUGAAAUCCCCGGGCUCAACCUGGGAACUGCAUUUGUGACUGCAUCGCUGGAGUGCGGGAGAGGGGGAUGGAAUUCCGCGUGUAGCAGUGAAAUGCGUAGAUAUGCGGAGGAACACCGAUGGCGAAGGCAAUCCCCUGGGCCUGCACUGACGCUCAUGCACGAAAGCGUGGGGAGCAAACAGGAUUAGAAACCCCUGUAGUCC
rnacentral:rRNA from 1 species